CCAGCCUGCCCAGUGACAAAGUUUAACGGCCGCGGUACCCUAACCGCGCGAAGGUAGCAUAAUCACUUGUUCUUUAAAUAGGGACUCGUAUCAACGGCAUCACGAGGGCUAUACUGUCUCCUUUCUCCAAUCAGUGAAACUGAUCUUCCCGUGAAGAAGCGGGAAUUAUUAUAUAAGACGAGAAGACCCAUUGGAGCUUUAAACUCAAUAUAUAUUUCUACGCACUUAUAUCACUAUUAGCCUAAGAAAACUAUAUAUUAGUUUUAGGUUGGGGGGACCGCGGAGAAAAAAUUAACCUCCACGACGAAUAGGCCAACGCCUUUAUCUAUGAACCACAAUUCUAAGAAUCAACAAACUGAUGUUUGAUGAUCCAAUUUAUUGAUCAACGAACCAAGUUACCCUGGGGAUAACAGCGCAAUCUACUUCAAGAGCUCCUAUCGACAAGUGGGUUUACGACCUCGAUGUUGGAUCAGGGUAUCCUAGUGGUGCAGCCGCUACUAAAGGUUCGUUUGUUCAACGAUUAAAACCCUACGUGAUCU
rnacentral:rRNA from 1 species